rnacentral:rRNA from 1 species
UACGAGAGGCCCAAACGUUAUUCGGAUUUACUGGGCUUAAAGAGUUCGUAGGCGGCGCGGAAAGUAGGGUGUGAAAGCCCUCGGCUCAACCGAGGAAUUGCGCUCUAAACUACCGUGCUUGAGGAAGCUAGAGGUGAGCGAAACUGAUGGUGGAGCGGUGAAAUGCGUUGAUAUCAUCAGGAACACCGGAGGCGAAGGCGGCUCACUGGGGCUUUUCUGACGCUGAGGAACGAAAGCCAGGGGAGCGAACGGG